rnacentral:misc_RNA from 1 species
AACACUGUUAACCUGCGGUACCUGCGGAGGGAUCAUUACCGAGUGCGGGUCUUUAUGGCCCAACCUCCCACCCGUGACUAUUGUACCUUGUUGCUUCGGCGGGCCCGCCAGCGUUGCUGGCCGCCGGGGGCGUCUCGCCCCCGGGCCCGUGCCCGCCGGAGACCCCAACAUGAACCCUGUUCUGAAAGCUUGCAGUCUGAGUGUGAUUCUUUGCAAUCAGUUAAAACUUUCAGCAAUGGA